UAUGGAAUCUUCGGCAAUGGGGGCAACCCUGACCGAGCAACGCCGCGUGAGUGAAGAAGGUUUUCGGAUCGUAAAGCUCUGUUGUAAGAGAAGAACGUGUGUGAGAGUGGAAAGUUCACACAGUGACGGUAACUUACCAGAAAGGGACGGCUAACUACGUGCCAGCAGCCGCGGUAAUACGUAGGUCCCGAGCGUUGUCCGGAUUUAUUGGGCGUAAAGCGAGCGCAGGCGGUUUAAUAAGUCUGAAGUUAAAGGCCGUGGCUUAACCAUGGUUCGGUUUCGAAACUGUUAAACUUGAGUGCAGAAGGAGAGAGUGGAAUUCCAUGUGUAGCGGUGAAAUGCGUAGAUAUAUGGAGGAACACCGGUGGCGAAAGCGGCUCUCUGGUCUGUAACUGACGCUGAGGCUCGAAAGCGUGGGGAGCAAACAGG
rnacentral:rRNA from 1 species